rnacentral:lncRNA from 1 species
AGCCUGCAGUGUGUUUGCCAUGCCCAUCCUGAAAUCUGUUUUCUGGCUCCUUGUGGCUCUGCUCCAGGCUUGUGGCCUGAGCAUUUUGUAAGGGCCGAGAUGAUUGCCUGGCAGGCAAGGGAGCUGCCGUGUGGCCUGUUGGGGCCUGGGCUGUGGGUAGAGGCAGCCCCAGGAUCUUUGCACCCCUGCAGCUUCCCGGGCACUCUUCAUCUUGGGAAGAUAGUGCACAGACACCCCUGCGUGUCUUACUGCCUGGGUGGCUGCAGUGGCAGAUGAAGUAGGUUGGGGUCCAUUGAGACGGGGCUCAGGUGCCAGGCGGGGCAGUUGAACUGUCCUUGAAGUGGAAUAAUUAGAGUUGGCCUGGCCUGGCCGCUCUUCACCUGCCUCACACCUUUCAUCCAGGUUUUGCUGAGUCAUUGGAUGCGACCUGUUCUGUGCUGCAAGCUGCUCUGGCACUUUGUGUGGGUCUUUGUUGGUCUAGGCAUCCCUCUGGUCUAGAAGCUUCCCUCUGACAAUGGAGCAAGUUUGCGAGCAGUGAGGCAGACGACAGGUCCUCUUGUGGGUAAGGGCCGGCCAAGAGCACAGGAUUGGAGAGAGAGCCGGGCUGCAUUCCGGGGUAUAACUGAUUAGAUGCCUGAACACGAGGAAGGGCUUCCUCUUUGGGUACCUGGUGUUCCCUCCUGAUGCAGGAGACGAACUCAGGUUAGUUGUGUGGACCUUCUCAACCCCCAGGCGUAUCUUGGGUAGAUUGCAGUUGUUCUGUUCGGCUGUGGACACCCACGACACGGUGACUGUUGCAGUGAAGCAAGUCGCAUGACUUUUUUUGUUUCUCAGGGCACAGCAAAGUUGUGUUUACACUGAACCGCCAUCGAUAGGAUGUGCAAUGGCAUUAGGUCUAAACAAAGUGUGUACUCCCUUACUUGAAGGAUAGUUUAUUGCUGAAAAAUGCUGACCAUCAUCUGAGCCUUCACUGAGUGUAAUCUUUUGCCGUAGCAACAUCAAAGACGGCUGAAUACAAAUCACCAGAGCAAACAUAAUCACAACGAAAAAGGGGGAGUUUUUGAGAAAAUCAUCCCAUGUGACACAGGCAGGAAGUGAGUAAAUGCUGUUGAAAAAAUGGGAUUGAUCAACUUGCUUAAGGCAGGGUUGAUAUCAAGCUUAAUUUUUUUUUUGUCUUUUUAAGGCCACAACCCAGCCUAUGGAGGUUCCCAGGCUAGGGGUUGAAUCGGAGCUGCAGCCUUCCACCUACACUACAGCCACAGCAAUGUGGGUACAAGUGGCACCACAGCUCACAGCAGUGCUGGAUGCUUAACACACUGAGCCAGGCCAGGGUUCGAACCUGCAUCCUCAUGGAUACUUGUCAGGUUCAUUACCACAGAGCCACGACGGGAACUCCAAAAGCUUCCAUUUGGAAAAGACACACCAUCUGUGAAGCACAGUAAUUGGACGUGGGCUAGAAUGAGCUAUGCCAGCCGUCAUCACCUCUGGAGGAUAUACAGCACCCAGCACAGUGGAACGUGUCCCUGGGUGGGAAGCGUUACCACAUGAGUUACAGGGCAUUGAAGAGGGCCUGGAGAGGAUCUCAGCCUACAUGAGGUCCAGCCGCUUCCUGCCACACCCCGUGUAUUCAAAGAUGGCCAUGUGGGGCAACAAGUAGUGCCCUGAAGCAGGAGAUGGAGUGAGGAGUAGGCCCUGGAGGACAGUUGGCCCUCCCUGCAGCCCACGACCAGACGUCUUGCUUGUCCUCCUUGUUCCCAUCAGGCCUCACGUGGCCCCUAAGCCUUUCCCAGGCAGCAUUCACCAGGAUCUUGAGCGCUCUGCAGCCUCCCGCCCUUCUGCUGUGAAGUCAGCGGCUGAAGGUAUCCUUUCUGCUCUGAGGCCAACCAGACCCGCCUUCCUUUCUGUGCUUGCUCCUGCUGUGAGCAGCCUGACCUGGAGAGCUCAGGCCUGACGUGUGGAGCCUGGCCCUUGCCUGUGGGGCUCAGUCCUGAGCUGCCCAGCCCUGCCCUGAAGACCAGCCCUGACCCGGCAUGUAGGCCCUGCUCCCCCAGUGUGGUCCCCACCCAGCCCUGCCUGAUCAGCAGUAAAGCCUCACUCAC